rnacentral:rRNA from 1 species
CCUACGGGAGGCAGCAGUGGGGAAUAUUGCUCAAUGGGGGAAACCCUGAUGCAGCGACGCCGCGUGAGUGAAGAAGUAUUUCGGUACUUAAAGCUCUAUCAGCAGGGAAGAAAAUUACGGUACCUGACUAAGAAGCCCCGGCUAACUACGUGCCAGCAGCCGCGGUAACACGUAGGGGGCAAGCGUUAUCCGGAUUUACUGGGUGUAAAGGGAGCGUAGACGGCAGCGCAAGUCUGAAGUGAAAUCCCAUGGCUUAACCAUGGAACUGCUUUGGAAACUGUGGAGCUUGAGUGCAGGAGAGGUAAGCGGAAUUCGUAGUGUAGCGGUGAAAUGCGUAGAUAUUAGGAGGAACACCGGUGGCGAAGGCAGCUUACUGGACUGUAACUGACGUUGAGGCUCGAAAGCGUGGGGAUCAAACAGGAUUAGAUACCCUUGUAGUC